rnacentral:rRNA from 1 species
UGCGCAGGCGGCUUAUUAAGUCAGUGGUGAAAUCUCUCGGCUCAACCGAGAAACUGCCAUUGAAACUGAUAAGCUUGAGUGUAGUUGUAGUAGGCGGAAUACAGCAUGUAGCGGUGAAAUGCUUAGAUAUGCUAUAGAACACCGAUCGCGAAGGCAGCUUACUAAACUAUCACUGACGCUCAUGCACGAAAGCGAGGGAGCAAACAGGAUUAGAUACCCUGGUAGUCC